GGCGGCGUGGAUAAGACAUGCAAGUCGAACGGGAUCAUCGGAGUAGCAAUACAACGGUGGUCUAGUGGCGAACGGGUGCGUAACACGUGGAUACAUUCCGGAAAGCGGGGGAUAGCCCAGGGAAACUUGGAUUAAUACCGCAUGUGGUUGAAAAACUAAAGGCAGGGACCGCAAGGCCUGCCACUUUCCGAUUGGUCCGCGGCCUAUCAGCUAGUUGGCGGGGUAAAAGCCCACCAAGGCUACGACGGGUAGCUGGUCUUAGAGGACGACCAGCCACACUGGAACUGAGACACGGUCCAGACACCUACGGGUGGCAGCAGUCGAGAAUCUUUCACAAUGGGGGCAACCCUGAUGGAGCGACGCCGCGUGGAGGAUAAGGUCUUCGGAUUGUAAACUCCUGUCAUGUGUGAACAAGGUUGCGAGGUUAAUAGUCUUGCAAAUUGAUGGUAACACAAGAGGAAGAGACGGCUAACUCUGUGCCAGCAGCCGCGGUAAUACAGAGGUCUCAAGCGUUGUUCGGAAUCACUGGGCGUAAAGGGUGCGUAGGUGGCGUGGUAAGUCAGAUGUGAAAGCCCGGGGCUCAACCUCGGAACAGCAUCCGAUACUACCAUGCUAGAGUACUGAAGAGGUGACUAGAAUUCUCGGUGUAGCAGUGAAAUGCGUAGAUAUCGAGAGGAACACCAACGGCGAAGGCAGGUCACUGGGCAGUUACUGACACUGAGGCACGAAGGCCAGGGGAGCAAACGGGAUUAGAUACCCCGGUAGUCCUGGCAGUAAACGGUGCACGUUUGGUGUGGGCGCAAUCGACCGCGUCCGCGCCGGAGCUAACGCGUUAAACGUGCCGCCUGGGAAGUACGGUCGCAAGAUUA
rnacentral:rRNA from 1 species